CUGCAGCUAAUUAAGCCAACCAUGCUUCUUUCCUCGUGGGGGCUUGGUGUGUAAUGGCUGCCAACAGCAGCCUUUGUGGCAGUGUACGCAGCCUGUUGCUUCUAUAGGUUGCUCUAAGGGACCUUGGAGACUUUC